rnacentral:rRNA from 1 species
UACGUAGGGCGCGAGCGUUGUCCGGAAUUAUUGGGCGUAAAGGGCUCGUAGGCGGUUUGUCGCGUCGGGUGUGAAAACCUCGGGCUUAACUCGGGGCUUGCUUUCGAUACGGGCAGACUAGAGGUAUGCAGGGGAGAACGGAAUUCCUGGUGUAGCGGUGAAAUGCGCAGAUAUCAGGAGGAACACCGGUGGCGAAGGCGGUUCUCUGGGCAUGAUCUGACGCUGAGGAGCGAAAGUGUGGGGAGCGAACAGG